rnacentral:tmRNA from 1 species
UCUAUUGAAUCUUUGAUAACAAGUUUUAUAUUAUUACUGUUGGUUUUCCAACUAUGACGAUAAACGAAUUUCGUAAUAAACAUUGCGGACGUGGGGGCA